rnacentral:tRNA from 1 species
UGGCCGGUAGCUUAAUUUGGCAGAGCACACUCCUGAUAAAGGUGGGUGAGGUGGUUCAAAUCCUUCCCGGCCAACCA